rnacentral:rRNA from 1 species
CCUACGGGAGGCAGCAGUGGGGAAUAUUGGACAAAUGGGCGCAAGCACUGAUCCAGCCAUACCGCGUGGGUGAAGAAGGCCUUCGGGUUGUAAAGCCCUUGUUGGGAAAGAAAUCCCAGCCGGUUAAUACCAUGGUUGGGAUGACGGUACCCAAAGAAUAAGCACCGGCUAACUUCGUGCCAGCAGCCGCGGUAAUACGAAGGGUGCAAGCGUUACUCGGAAUUACUGGGCGUAAAGCGUG